UAGUGGCGCACGGGUGCGUAACGCGUGGGAAUCUGCCCUUGGGUACGGAAUAACAGUUAGAAAUGACUGCUAAUACCGUAUAAUGACUUCGGUCCAAAGAUUUAUCGCCCAGGGAUGAGCCCGCGUAGGAUUAGCUAGUUGGUGAGGUAAAGGCUCACCAAGGCGACGAUCCUUAGCUGGUCUGAGAGGAUGAUCAGCCACACUGGGACUGAGACACGGCCCAG
rnacentral:rRNA from 1 species